AAUGUUCCUUAAAUAUUAACUUCUGGUUAGAAUUUUCAAUGAAAAUUAUUUAUCUACUCUUGGAUUGCCUUGCUUCAGUGGAGCAAGAUCCAGACAAGAAAAGUGGAUUCUCUACUUUAUGAAACAUCUCUGAUUUUCUCUCAUUUGUUGCCCAUCUGCGUCUCAACUGUUUUCCAUGGUGCUACAUCAGUUAAGGGAGAAAUUGGUACUAGAUAUGGAAUGGGUAGAUAAGUAAGUAUUAUAUGAAUGUCUCAUUUUUUUCACAAGUCUAGAUAAUUUUGUAAUCUGUGCUUUCACUCUGCUACAUUAGCAAUCAUGCAGUUUCUGCAUAUGAAUAUAGAGGUUCUGUGCUUCACAUAUGGGACCAACUUUGUCAAUGGUAAGGAUUGUCCAUGGAUAGAUACUUUAACAUGUGAAGUGCAAUUGGUCCACUGAUACUGACUGUUGUCAUUUUUAUUCUGUUUCAUGGAACUGAGUAUAUGAUGAGAAUGGAAAAUGACAAAGUACAUAGCAGUUAUGCUUUGAAGUAAGCUACUACUGUACUAAAGGCAAGAUGAAUUAUUUUAGGGAUCUGUAAUAUAAAACUGAAAACCAUACUAAAGCAGUAGGAUUAUCGUGGAAAGUAGAACAAGAGAUGAAAUACUUUGCUUCUUCAUCUUUCUCAGGAGUUACAGGUAGACAAAGUGAGUCACUGUGAGAAAUGUACUGAUAGUUAAGACCAAACUAAUAAUGAUGAUAAUAAUAUACCCCAUGUUUUUGGCAUUGAAAAUCCAUCAAAAUAUUCAUUACAGCUUUUGUGCAAUAUGUUUAUGGCAACCAUCAAUAGUUAAUAAGGAUAUAACAGUUCAACUAGUUGGUAAAUUGAGGGUAGUAGUCUUCUCUAAAGAAUGCUGUAGAAUCUCUUUGACAUUUAGCCCCACAUUAAAAAGUAUUUAUGUUUGAUUAUAUUUUUACAAUACUUGUAAUAGAAUGUGUUUAAUUUGUAAAUGCCAGUGAAUAUGCCAUCUUUGUUUUACAUAACUGUAGGUUGCAGGGUACUGAGGGAAACAGUUUUGUCAAUGAUUUAUUCAAACUCUAUCCUCACAAAAUAUGUACUGAGGCUAUUUUUAUUACCCAUUUGUUUAUUUUCAGUUUCUAUCUUCUGUUUCUUGAGCCUAAAAGGAAGAAAAACUAGUGAGAAGAUCCUUUGCUUUCAGUUUCCAUUAGUACAAAUUCUUCUCUCUUGAACAUUUGGUGGGUCUGGGAGCAUCUUAAUAAAGUCUGGGUAAUUUAGUUUUCAGUUUAAAUUCUCAACUGGCAAUUGGCCGAAAGGACACGUGUCUGAAGAUUUGAGCAUCCAAAUGCCAUUUUUGUGAUUGGCUACUAUCUGCUUGACAUAGGCGGGCCCUAUCAAGAAAGUCUAAAGGAAUGACUAGUCAUCGAAGAGAAAUCAAAGGUUUGUCAGGAUGAAGAGUUACUGAACAGAUGGAGUGAAAUAAUCUAUGAAGAGGAAACCAGGGAGAAACUCUGAACCAUGUGGUCCUAUACAACAGG